CCUACGGGAGGCAGCAGUGGGGAAUAUUGCACAAUGGGGGAAACCCUGAUGCAGCGACGCCGCGUGAGUGAAGAAGUAAUUCGUUACGUAAAGCUCUAUCAGCAGGGAAGAAAUACUGACCUUACGGUCAGCAGACGGUACCUGAGUAAGAAGCCCCGGCUAACUACGUGCCAGCAGCCGCGGAAAUACGUAGGGGGCAAGCGUUAUCCGGAUUUACUGGGUGGAAAGGGAGUGUAGACGGGGCGACAAGUCUGGCGUGAAAUGCCGGAGCUUAACUGCGGGACUGCUUUGGAAACUGGCGAACGAGAGUGCGGGAGGGGUAAGCGGAAUUCCGAGUGUAGCGGUGAAAUGCGUAGAUAUUAGGAGGAACACCAGUGGCGAAGGCGGCUUACUGGACCGUAACUGACGUUGAGGCUCGAAAGCGUGGGGAGCAAACAGGAUUAGAUACCCCAGUAGUC
rnacentral:rRNA from 1 species